CUUUGGGGAAUGAGGAUGGGAUGCUGGAAGAGGAAAGGGCUGUGUCACCUAUGAUGAACAGCUGCCCUUUUGGCCCAAAUCUCCAGUGACAAGUAAAAAAGCUGGAUGGAUGGAGGUGAUGGCCCUACAAUUCAGUAUAGGAGUACACCCAUUGUUUCCCAGGAAAGCUUGUGGCAGGUCACCGAAUUUUGGCCCGUGAUCAGCAGGAGCCGGCACACAGCCUCUCCUUACGCACCCCUCCCAUGGAAUAGGUUGGCCUCAGGUGCCCAGCCGAUAAGAGGAACUUAAAGAUGCGUGAAGUACUGCAAGUGGAUAAAUGAACGAAGAGCGCUGAAGGAGCGAAUCUGGCUUCAUUAAGUGCCCACCACGUAUAUGAUUUUACUGAAUCCACACAACAUGCA